GGGAUACAGACGCGCCUUCUAUCUGGUAAAUGACGUCAUAAAGGCGUGCGAAAUUGAGGAUAUUUUCCGGUGAAAGACAUGAUUCCAGAAAUGUCCUAUCAAUUGCAUGCAGCGACACAAGUCUAUUUGUCUAGUUCAAAGUUACCAUAAGGAGGUGUGGUAUGAUUAACAAUGAUACAAUUAUUCCUAGACCAUAGGACAAAGAUAUAAACAAUUACAGGUCGUCCAAUGGCCUUCAACAAUGAGCAAAACCCAUUCCAUAUAAUCAUCUAUAAAAAGCCUUGCUAUGAUAAAAUGUGAAACAUUUCAAAAGAAAAAAAAUCCACAGCAUACUACAACAAUGAAGUAAAAAAAAAUAUGGUACACAGCCUCUAACUACAUCUGCUAUGUUAUAGGUCCUGGCUGUGGACAGGCACAUACAGAAUAAAAAAAAAAAAUUGAAUUUAAUUUGACAGUUCUAGUUGAUUAUGGAUAGUGUUUUAAGAAACUGUUACUUGAUAUUUAUACCUCCGCUUUGAAAAAAAGGAGGGUAUACUGUUUUAUCUCUGUCUGUCCUUCCGUCAGUCUGUCAGUCUGUCAGUCAGUCAGUCUGUC
rnacentral:lncRNA from 1 species